AGAGUUUGAUUAUGGCUCAGAUUGAACGCUGGCGGCAGGCCUAACACAUGCAAGUCGAACGGUAACAGGAAACAGCUUGCUGUUUCGCUGACGAGUGGCGGACGGGUGAGUAAUGUCUGGGAAACUGCCUGAUGGAGGGGGAUAACUACUGGAAACGGUAGCUAAUACCGCAUAACGUCGCAAGACCAAAGAGGGGGACCCUCGGGCCUCCUGCCAUCGGAUGUGCCCAGAUGGGAUUAGCUUGUUGGUGGGGUAACGGCUCACCAAGGCGACGAUCCCUAGCUGGUCUGAGAGGAUGACCAGCCACACUGGAACUGGGACACGGUCCAGACUCCUACGGGAGGCAGCAGUGGGGAAUAUUGCACAAUGGGCGCAAGCCUGAUGCAGCCAUGCCGCGUGUAUGAAGAAGGCCUUCGGGUUGUAAAGUACUUUCAGAAAGGAGGAAGGGAGUAGAGUUAAUACCUAUACUCAUUGACGUUACCCGCAGAAGAAGCACCGGCUAACUCCGUGCCAGCAGCCGCGGUAAUACAGAGGGUGCAAGCGUUAAUCGGAAUUACUGGGCGUAAAGCGCACGCAGGCGGUUUGUUAAGUCAGAUGUGAAAUCCCCGGGCUCAACCUGGGAAAUGCAUCUGAUACUGGCAAGCUUGAGUCUCGUAGAGGGGGGUAGAAUUCCAGGUGUAGCGGUGAAAUGCGUAGAGAUCUGGAGGAAUACCGGUGGCGAAGGCGGCCCCCUGGACGAAGACUGACGCUCAGGUGCGAAAGCGUGGGGAGCAAACAGGAUUAGAUAUCCUGGUAGUCCACGCCGUAAACGAUGUCGACUUGGAGGUUGUGCCCUUGAGGCGUGGCUUCCGGAGCUAACGCGUUAAGUCGACCGCCUGGGGGAGUACGGCCGCAAGGUUAAAACUCAAAUGAAUUGACGGGG
rnacentral:rRNA from 1 species